rnacentral:rRNA from 1 species
AUUGAACGCUGGCGGCAUGCCUUACACAUGCAAGUCGAACGGUAACAGGUCUUCGGAUGCUGACGAGUGGCGAACGGGUGAGUAAUACAUCGGAACGUGCCUAGUAGUGGGGGAUAACUACUCGAAAGAGUGGCUAAUACCGCAUGAGAUCUACGGAUGAAAGCAGGGGAUCGCAAGACCUUGUGCUACUAGAGCGGCCGAUGUCAGAUUAGGUAGUUGGUGGGAUAAAAGCUUACCAAGCCGACGAUCUGUAGCUGGUCUGAGAGGACGAUCAGCCACACUGGGACUGAGACACGGCCCAGACUCCUACGGGAGGCAGCAGUGGGGAAGUUUGGACAAUGGGCGAAAGCCUGAUCCAGCAAUGCCGCGUGCAGGAUGAAGGCCUUCGGGUUGUAAACUGCUUUUGUACGGAACGAAAAGCCCCGGGUUAAUACCCUGGGGUCAUGACGGUACCGUAAGAAUAAGCACCGGCUAUCUACGUGCCAGCCGCCGCCGUAA